UGUCUGCAGAUCUCCAUCCAGGACAUCCUGAGGCCCUCCUUUAGACCUUCCCUGUUGUUUCCGCCCACCACUGGGUCAAGUGGGUCCAUAGCAGGUGGGAUGCUGGGAGGGAGAUGGAAAGAGACUUCCUGAUUAAGAACGAGGGGCACAAACAUGGACAGAUGUUUUCCGAACCCCAUCUGGCCCAAACCUUCCAGCUACCAUCAACCCCUCCCAUCUACCAUUCAGAACAGAGGCGUGAUGAGUCUGGAGGAUCUAUGUGACCAUGACAACGAGGAGUUCAAACAAAUCCACACUGACUACAGGGGGGUGAAGCUAUGGAAAAUCUCUCAUGGCAGGACUCAUGGCCCUCAAUAUACUGGAGAACUUUCCCAUCAAAGGUACACUCCUCAC